UAGAAUGUGCGUUUGUACAGUAGAUGUAUUUCCGAAGGAUACAGUCUUCGCACACGAGAAUACGGAUGCAGCACCGGAAAAUCCGACUCGGGUUGAUUCGACAAAGUCAGCUCGAAGUUACAGAUCCGAGUGGUGGUUAGUUACAGACUGCUUCGAGUUCCGGAAUAUUUGAUCUGCUGGAGUUUGCGGCCACGCGAUAGCUGCUGCGGUUACCGGGACGCAGUUUCGACGGACGCCGAUGCCGCACCGGAGGAUCCGGUUCGGGCCGAGCAGAGUCGGCUUGAAGAUCCGCAGCAGAACGCGGCUGACUCUGGCUACUGUGUAUCGG